rnacentral:lncRNA from 1 species
UAAAAAUGCUGGAGAGCCUAAGUAUGGAAACUUUUUGAGAGAACACUCAAAAGAAGUUUGGAGAAAAAGAGGCGUAAGUGGUUUGCCAUCCUCCAAAUUCCUUGUUUGAAAUUCCAAUCUGUGCUGGAAGAGACAAAAUAAUAAAAUGCUUCUGCAAAGAAACAAAAACAAAUAACAAUUUGAAAAGGUAAGUCUUUCCCUAAAAAAACUAAUUCGUUACUACUGAAAUUAAGUACUAAAAAUUACUUCGUUACUAUGGAAAUUAAGUACUUGAAAUUUUACAGGGUGGUAGACCAUCACGGCAUCAC